UUAAGCUACAAAGAGCGUAGGGAGAAUGCCUAGGUACCAAGAGCCGAAGAAGGACGUGAUAAGCUGCGAAAAGCCACGGGGAGGAGCAAAUAUCCAUCGAGCCGUGGGUGUCCGAAUGAGGGAACUCAUACAGUAAAAAAAGACUGUAUAUCCAUACAUGAGUAAAGUAGUGUAUAGGAAGGGAACGUGGGGAACUGAAACAUCUUAGUACCCAUAGGAAAAGAAAGUAAUAACGAUUCCUGAAGUAGUGGCGAGCGAAACAGGAAGAGCCCAAACCAUAGAUAGUAAUAUUUGUGGGGUUCGGAUUAUCAAUAAAGCCAAGAAUGAUGUUAGUAGAAUUACCAGGGAAGGUAAACCAAAGAAGGUGAAAGUCCUGUAUAUGAAAACAGAGUGAAGGCGAGAUAAAUCCAGAGUAGUGCGAGACACGAGAAAUCUCGUAUGAAAGAGCGGAGACCAUUCCGUAAGGCUAAAUACUACUUGGUAACCGAUAGAGAACAAGUACCGUGAGGGAACGGUGAAAAGGACCCCGGGAGGGGAGUGAAAGAGAACCUGAAACCCUAUGUUUACAAGCAGAUAGAGCGAUUUAAGGCGCGAUAUCGUACUUUUUGUAGAACGGUCCAGCGAGUUAUUGUAUAUGGCGAGGUUAAGUUCUGAAUAAGGAAUGGAGCCGAAGAGAAAUCGAGUCUGAAUAGGGCGAUAUAAGUCAUAUAUAAUAGACCCGAAACCGGGUGACCUAUCCAUGGUCAGGAUGAAGCUGAAGUAAAAUUCAGUGGAGGUCCGAACUGAUUGUCGUUAAAAAGGCACCGGAUGAACUGUGGAUAGCGGAGAAAUUCCAAUCGAACUCGGAGAUAGCUGGUUCUCCUCGAAAUAGCUUUAGGGCUAGCCUUGAGGUAAAAGAAUUAUGGGGGUAGAGCACUGAAUGAGGUAGGGGCCAAACCAGGUUACUGAACUCUAUCAAACUGCGAAUACCAUAAUUAGAAUACUCAGGAGUCAGACUGCGGGAGCUAAGUUCCGUGGUCAAAAGGGAAAGAGCCCAGACCGACAAUUAAGGUCCCAAAGAUAUAGUUAAGUGGAAAACGAUGUGAAUUUGCAUAAACAACCAGGAUGUUGGCUCAGAAGCAGCCACUCAUUCAAAGAGUGCGUAACAGCUCACUGGUCGAGUGAAUUUGCGCGGAAAAUUACCGGGGCUAAACUAUACACCGAAAUUUCGGAUUUACGUAUGAAAAUAUGUAAGUGGUAGAGGAGCAUUCUGUAGUAGGACGAAGUCAAAGCGAAAGCAUUGGUGGACGAGGCAGAAGAGAGAAUGCUGGAAUAAGUAGCGAGAGCAAGGUGAGAAUCCUUGCCGUCGAAAGUCUAAGGUUUCCUGGGGAAGGUUCGUCCGCCCAGGGUAAGUCGGGGCCUAAGGAGAGGCCGAAAGGCGUAUCUGAUGGAUAGCAGGUGGAGAUUCCUGCACUAUAGCUAGUUUUAAAAGAUGCAAGGGACGCAGUAGAGGAAGAUAACCAAGGAAGAGGAAAGACUUGGUCCGCAAGGGAUAGUGAAAAUUAAUAGUAACGAAAUAUCAAGAAUCACACUGACGAGAAAAGCUUGUAGAUAUUAACUAGAAAUACCCGUACCGCAAACCGACACAGGUAGAUGAGGAGAGGAUCCUAAGACGAGCGGGAGAAGCAUUGUUAAGGAACUCGGCAAAAUAACCCCGUAACUUCGGGAGAAGGGGAACCUAAGUAAAAUUAGGUCGCAGAGAAAAGGCCCAAGCAACUGUUUAACAAAAACACAGGUUUCUGCAAAAUCGAAAGAUGAAGUAUAGGAGCUGACGCCUGCCCAGUGCUGGAAGGUUAAGGGAAAGAGUUAGAUGUAAGUCGAAGCUUAGAACUAAAGCCCCAGUGAACGGCGGCCGUAACUAUAACGGUCCUAAGGUAGCGAAAUUCCUUGUCAGGUAAG
rnacentral:rRNA from 1 species